rnacentral:rRNA from 1 species
AUUGAACGCUGGCGGCACGCUUUACACAUGCAAGUCGAACGGUAACAGGCCGCAAGGUGCUGACGAGUGGCGAACGGGUGAGUAAUGCAUCGGAACGUGCCCAGUCGUGGGGGAUAACUACUCGAAAGAGUAGCUAAUACCGCAUACGAUCUAUGGAUGAAAGCGGGGGACCGUAAGGCCUCGCGCGAUUGGAGCGGCCGAUGUCAGAUUAGGUAGUUGGUGGGGUAAAGGCUCACCAAGCCAACGAUCUGUAGCUGGUCUGAGAGGACGACCAGCCACACUGGGACUGAGACACGGCCCAGACUCCUACGGGAGGCAGCAGUGGGGAAUUUUGGACAAUGGGCGCAAGCCUGAUCCAGCAAUGCCGCGUGCAGGAAGAAGGCCUUCGGGUUGUAAACUGCUUUUGUACGGAACGAAACGGCUCUGGUUAAUACCCGGGGCUAAUGACGGUACCGGAAGAAUAAGCACCGGCUAACUACGUG